rnacentral:rRNA from 1 species
GGGGUGUUAGGGCACGACACCGGAGAGGGAGCCUGAAAAACGGCUACCACAUCCAAGGAUGGCAGCAGGCGCGCAAAUUACCCAAUCCCGACACGGGGAGGUAGUGACAAUAAAUAACAAUACGGGGUUCUUUAGGAUCUCGUAAUUGGAAUGAGUACAAUUUAAAUCUCUUAACGAGGAACAAUUGGAGGGCAAGUCUGGUGCCAGCAGCCGCGGUAAUUCCAGCUCCAAUAGCGUAUAUUAAAGUUGUUGCAGUUAAAAAGCUCGUAGUUGAAUUUCGGGGUUAGUAGAUUGGUCAUGCCUCUGGUAUGUACUGGUCUCACUGAUUCCUCCUUCCUGAUGAUCCGUAAUGCCAUUAAUUUGGUGUUGCGGGGAAUUUGGACUGUUACUUUGAAAAAAUUAGAGUGUUUAAAGCAAGCUAACGCUUGAAUACAUUAGCAUGGAAUAAUGAAAUAGGACGUUCGAUCCUAUUUUGUUGGUUUCUAGGAUUGACGUAAUGAUUAAUAGGGAUAGUUGGGGGCAUUGGUAUUCAAUUGUCAGAGGUGAAAUUCUUGGAUUUAUUGAAGACUAACUACUGCGAAAGCAUUUGCCAAGGAUGUUUUCAUUAAUCAAGAACGAAAGUUAGGGGAUCGAAGACGAUCAGAUACCGUCGUAGUCUUAACCAUAAACUAUGCCGACUAGGGAUCGGAUGAUGUUAAUUUUUAA